CACGGAAGUUAAGCCCUCCAGCGCCGAUGGUACUUGGGGAUGACCCCUGGGAGAGUAGGUCGUUGCCAGGC
rnacentral:rRNA from 1 species